GCCAGUGGGUGCCCAGCAAUUUUGUUAAUAAACUGUUCUAGUCCCUGUCUCCGCUCCUCAAUGAAGGACUCCUCAAAGAUGCCUUCGUCUCCUCGGAACGGAAGCUGUCGUUUCAAAGCUUUUCCAGGCAGCGGUGGCACUACAAUCUUACUGUCUCGUUCCAGCUCAUUCUUCAGCCAUUCAAAGUCACUGUAUCGUCUCCUCACACACGACUCCUUCAAUUUGAAGAUUGGGAGAUUUGUCCUCAUGCGGAGCUCGUAGCUGGUGUAUCUGGCGCGGCCCACUCCCACGGUCUGCGGGUUG
rnacentral:lncRNA from 1 species